AAAACUCUAGAGGUAUAAAUGCUUGUGCUAAAAAAGAAUGAGAAUCAAGGAUAAGAGUGGUUGAGGUAAGGUAACAGGAGCUAGGGAUCUGAACAGAAGGGAAAUAGCAGGCCAGUGAGCAGAAUCAACAAAGAACUACUUACCACUGACUCCAGGGAGAGGCUGCAUGAGUCAUCUCUGGGUUUUGCUUGCUCCAGUAUACCUGUCAGAGAGGGGCUGACAAGUGUAGAGUGGGGCUGACAGCUGUGGGACAGAGGAAGAGACAGAGUCCUAAAGUUACUGUGGUGUAGACAUCAACAACCAUGGAUGAUCUUGGAUGUGUCAUUACCUCUCUGGGUCUUGAUAUCCUAAAAUACAAAAGGAAAGAUUACACUAAGCCAUCUCUCUGAUCCCGUUAGCACCAACCCUCUGUGAUCUUGAAGAUGUAAUCUCUGGUUUAUAGAUCUGCAUUUAUGUCAAGGGAAAUGUCAUGUAUGUGUGGUGUCUGUUUGAUGGCCAUGUGACAACUGAAGACUGGCUCUGAUGGAUGACUUAAGUAACCUCUGGAGGGUACCCACACUGUGACCAUAAACCACUAUGCCCGUGUGGAAAACACUGCAGUCCUGGGGCGAAAGACAAACUUCAUGCUUGAUAAAAAAACAACUAAAAGAAAGCAAUGAAGAAACCUUUCCUUUGUUACUUCCUUCCUUGGUGAUUGCCUGCCUUCUUCACCAAUAUACUGGAGUUACAGAAUGCGGUGAUAUGUACUUUACAAUGGGAUUAAAUAUGGCAACAUGGCUAGAUCUGCACAAAUCUGGAACUCUCGUUCUGUUUGUGCUAUAGAGUAAGUAUCCUUAUGUAAGUGUUCUUUCACUUGUGAUUUCUUCUACACAGUCCCUCAAUCAUUCUGCAGUAAAGCUCAGGCUUUUUAGCUCAAGGUUGAUGGACAAAAUGAUGGAAGGGGGAAGGACGUGACUUGCAUUCAUAUAUAUUGUGUUUCUUAAAACUGGGAAACCUCCAUUGCAUUAUAAAGGUCUAGAUGAAAAUAUGAGGUAAUGUUCAGCUGAAACCAUCAAAAUUAUAAGCUCUCCUAAAUUAGCUUGAAAACUCAUCAGUAGUAUAAAGACUUUAGUUUCUCGAUAGCACAGUGGAUUGAGAUUAGGUGAUUAUUCAUACCUGCCCAAAUGUCCCUGGGUAACAAGGAUAGGUAAAACCAAGGCAAUGUGACACAUUUGAAAGUUGCUGAGUUGAAUAUGAGAUGUAAGCAAAACCGUCCAAAGCUGUGAUUGAAUACUAGGAUUAGUCCUUCAGUACAUUGGGUUUUAUUUUUUAUUUUUCCAGGCAGGUUAAGGUUUUAGAAAUGUGACCUCAGUACUAACUAAAACUCAUCCUAAUUAAAGAGAAUGUCUAAUGAUAAUAAAGUCUUGAGACUAAUCUUUGGGCA
rnacentral:lncRNA from 1 species